UACGUAGGGUGCAAGCGUUAAUCGGAAUUACUGGGCGUAAAGCGUGCGCAGGCGGUUGUGCAAGACAGAUGUGAAAUCCCCGGGCUCAACCUGGGAACUGCAUUUGUGACUGCACAGCUUGAGUGCGGCAGAGGGGGGUGGAAUUCCGCGUGUAGCAGUGAAAUGCGUAGAUAUCUGGAGGAAUACCGGUGGCGAAGGCGGCAUCCUGGACCGACAUUGACGCUGAACGGCGAAAGCUAGGGGAGCAAACGGG
rnacentral:rRNA from 1 species